CUGCGGGCUUAACACAUGCAAGUUGAACGAUCAUCAAUUUUCUUGAUGAAAGUAGCGAACGGGUGAGUAAUAAGGGAGAAUCUGCCCGACAAUCGAUUAUAAAAUGGUCGAUAAAAUCUAUUUCGAAGACUAGAUCUUCUCUUCAGAUUAUUUAGUAAUCUUGAAAUAGAAAUAAAGGAGUCAAACCGUUGUAGGAUGAGCUCCCCUAGGAUUAGGUAGUUGGUGAGGUAAAGGCUCACCAAGCCCAUGAUCCUUAGUUGGUCUGAGAGGAUGAUCAGCCACAUUGGGACUGAGACACGGCCCAAACGCCUUCGGGUGGCAGCAGUGAGGAAUCUUGGGCAAUGGGCGAAAGCCUGACCCAGCCACGCGGUGUGAAUGAUUCUACGGAAAAAUAGAAGGCCCAUCUGGUCGUCAAGUUCUGCCCCUGAAGAAGAUUAUGACAGACUUCAGGGUAAAAGUCCCGGCUAACUCCGUGCCAGCAGCCGCAGUAAAAC
rnacentral:rRNA from 1 species